rnacentral:lncRNA from 1 species
GUUCGUUUUUCAACCGAGAAUAGCAAAACCUCAUGAAAUAUAUCGUUGGAGUUUAUAAACUACAUUUAAUCAUCCCCUGUGCCAUGAUUGGCCAUCUCCGUUUUUUCUUAACAAAGCAUGGUUGGUUACAUGUUAUAAAUUUACUUACAAUUUCUGGAUUUUUUUUCUCAAGUAAACGGAAUCAGAAAAAAAUCACUAUCCUAUGUCGAAUACAUAAAACUUGGCAAAGAAUGUGAAAGUGUUUGUAGUAAAGCACGGUUUCAUUUUGCAAGUACAACGUUAGUUCAUCGGGUCCAUUGAGUAAAUGAAAAGGCAGGAUAAGCAGCUUGGGGGGAGUCAAUGAAAAAAAAUGAGUUUUUUUUUAUCCUACAUUGAACUUUUGAUGUCGUCCCUUGAUCUAGAGGAGACAUUUAAAUUGAAUAUUUAGAUAUGAAAACUGUUAAGAUUUUAAAGAUUAAACUUUACUGCCAAUUGCAGAAAAUUAUAAAACUUAUGAAUUUCACAUGCACAUUUAUAAAAGCUAGAAUUGUGAUUGGAAUCAUGUAUGCG